GAUGAGUGCUGGCGGCGUGCCUAACACAUGCAAGUCGAGCGGCAGCGAGGGGUGCUUGCACCCUGUCGGCGAGCGGCGAACGGCUGAGUAACGCGUAGGAAUUUGCCCCAAAGUGAGGAAUAACUGCCCGAAAGGGUAGCUAAUGCCGCAUAUGGUCUUCGGAUUAAAGGAUUUAUCCGCUUUGGGAGAAGCCUGCGUUGGAUUAGGUUGUUGGUAGGGUAAUGGCCUACCAAGCCGACGAUCCAUAGCUGGUCUGAGAGGAUGAUCAGCCAGACUGGAACUGAGACACGGUCCAGACUCCUACGGGAGGCAGCAGUGAGGAAUCUUCCACAAUGGGCGAAAGCCUGAUGGAGCAACGCCGCGUGAAGGAUGAAGGCCUUCGGGUUGUAAACUUCUUUUAUGAGUGAAGAAUAUGACGGUAACUCAUGAAUAAGCACCGGCUAACUACGUG
rnacentral:rRNA from 1 species